GAGCCGUUCAACCUCAAAAGUGAAACAAUAUUCUUGUAGUGUCUUCCCUACAAUCACUCAGGUCAGUUGAGGGACUAUGAAAAGCUCCAGCGAAACAUCACGAGAAUCAGCGAACCUCAUGAAGCCAAGAAGACUACAACAAUAAAGAAACCUCAUAAGAAAUCGCGAUUGAUGUUUUAAAAUUGUGCGUGAACCCAAAUAAACAGGAAUUCCAGA